rnacentral:rRNA from 1 species
UACAGAGGUGGCAAGCGUUGUUCGGAAUUACUGGGCGUAAAGGGUGCGUAGGCGGUCGGGUAAGUCUGACGUGAAAUCUUCAAGCUCAACUUGGAAACUGCGUCGGAUACUAUUCGGCUAGAGGAAUGGAGGGGAGACUGGAAUACUUGGUGUAGCAGUGAAAUGCGUAGAUAUCAAGUGGAACACCAGUGGCGAAGGCGAGUCUCUGGACAUUUCCUGACGCUGAGGCACGAAAGCCAGGGGAGCAAACGGG